rnacentral:ncRNA from 2 species
UGUCUGUCACAACGGCUUCCUGGCGUGACAGAUGAAAUCUAACGGAGCA